rnacentral:rRNA from 1 species
UGAUUUCUUCGGAAUGAAGAGUGACUGAGUGGCGGACGGGUGAGUAACGCGUGGGUAACCUGCCUCAUACAGGGGGAUAACAGUUAGAAAUGACUGCUAAUACCGCAUAAGCGCACAGUACCGCAUGGUACCGUGUGAAAAACUCCGGUGGUAUGAGAUGGACCCGCGUCUGAUUAGCUAGUUGGUGGGGUAACGGCCCACCAAGGCGACGAUCAGUAGCCGACCUGAGAGGGUGGACGGCCACACUGGGACUGAGACACGGCCCAGACUCC